GUUUAUCAAAUUUUUAGACAAUUCAAAUAAUUAAUACGAUAUAAACCAUUCAAGGAAGGAGUAUAAUAAAAUGACUAAUCUUAAUACGCAACAUCAACCAACAACAUCAAAUAUUAUUAUUUUAUUAUACUCUUUAGGACUCGAACGUUAGUAAGAUUUUACUAAACGCUUUAAGUCCUAUUUCUGCUUGAAUGGGACUUAUAAA
rnacentral:sRNA from 21 species